CGGGGGCCCAAAAUAAAUUCAGCGUUAAGCCCCCGAAAGCCUAGAACCGGACCUACAUACACCUCUCAGGUGUGUGGCAUGGUGUUGCGGAAUUUUUUUCUCCAGCCAAAGCUUUUUUUUCAAGACCUGCUUUGAAUGCAUUGGCUAUCCAUCUCAAAUAAGUAUAUGCAGCCUAACACAUAGCCUAUACUCGUUUAUGUAUAAUGCGUAACGGGUUAAUGUACUAUUACGGACAUCGCGAACUAAACAGCAUUCUGUUUCAUUGUGAUUAUGUAGGCUACGCUCGGACAGCGGGUUUUGUUUAGGACUAUUGCGCUCUGGAGAUGACUUCUUUUUGGUGGAUUACUCGUUGAAAGAGCCGAUCUUUUCGAGCGCAACCAAACUGGUGAAUUGUUCAACAUCUUUCCGCUCCAGGAAACUGGAACUCAUGGCUUCGUCUCAUAAACUGGGUCAUCGGAGGGAUAUCAAUGCCUGGCCAAGAAUGUCUUCAACUUUUUGUGCUGCGGUGCUACUGACCAGCCUACUGAUAAUUUACUGUGGUCAAUUACAGAGACGGGAUGACAAAGAGAGUACACAUCAGACCCAACCGGAGACAGACGCAAUAAAAGAGGUUAAGCAAAAAGGCCCUGCUUGGAGCUGUCUUGUCGCUUCUGUUGGUGGGAUGUCUACACAAGAAGCCAAGGUAGGCUAUUAGUAUUAAUCCCAUGUAGUGUAGGGCUUUCAUGAACUUCCAACCCUGUUCCGAGAGGGUUACUAUCCUGUAGGUUUUUGCUUCAAUGCUAAUCUAUCAUACCUAAUUCUAGUAAUUAACUGUUUGAGCAAAAACCUAGAUCUAGAGCAGAG
ensembl:lncRNA